rnacentral:tRNA from 1 species
GCCUUCGUGGUGUAAUGGUCAGCACACUCGGCGCGUAUUCGAGAGGUCCGGGUUCGAACCCCGGCGAGGGCA